UACGAAGGGGACUAGCGUUGUUCGGAAUCACUGGGCGUAAAGCGCACGUAGGCGGAUUUGUAAGGCAGGGGUGAAAUCCCGGGGCUCAACCUCGGAACUGCCUUUGAUACUGCGAAUCUUGAGUCCGAUAGAGGUGGGUGGAAUUCCUAGUGUAGAGGUGAAAUUCGUAGAUAUUAGGAAGAACACCGGUGGCGAAGGCGGCCCACUGGAUCGGUACUGACGCUGAGGUGCGAAAGCGUGGGGAGCAAACAGG
rnacentral:rRNA from 1 species